rnacentral:rRNA from 1 species
AUGCGCCACCCCUCGCCGCCGCCGGAGCUCCCCGCGGCCGGGGGUGAGAUCCAGGCCAUGGCGCCCGCCUCGGCCGCGGGCUCAUCCAGCACCGGAGGCUCGUUCACGGCGCUCCUGGGGCUCCCGACCUCACAGGCCAUAGAGCUCCUGCUCCCCGGCGCGGCGCCGGCGCCCGCGCCCGCGCCCGCCUUCCCCUCCGACCCGCACCUCGUCGACCGCGCCGCCCGCUUCUCCGCCUUCGCGUCGCCGUCGCCGUCCCCGACCCCUCCUCCCGCCGCCUCCUCCGCCAAGCGCAAGGCUGACCCCGCCUCCAAGGGGAAGGUGGCGAAGAAGGGGAAGACGACGGCGGGCGGCGGCGAGGAGAAGGACUCGGGCGAGGACGAGAAGCCGGCGUACGUGCACGUGAGGGCCAGGAGGGGCCAGGCCACGGACAGCCACAGCCUCGCCGAGCGGGCGAGACGGGAGAAGAUAAAUGCGAGGAUGGAGCUGCUCAAGGAGCUGGUCCCCGGAUGCAGCAAGGUAUCAGGAACAGCGCUGGUACUGGAGGAGAUCAUCAAUCAUGUUCAAUCCCUUCAAAGACAAGUCGAGUACCUGUCAAUGAGACUCGCAGCAGUAAACCCAAGGGUUGACUUUGGUGGGCUAGACAACCUUUUGACUACAGAGUGUGGAAGGAUAACAGGUUUAAACUGCAAGAGUGGAAUGGACUUGGAGCAAGUCAGCUGGCCUGACAUGGGCGUUCACGGAGCAAGAAAUCUCGCGCAGCUACAACAGCAGUUCUGGCAUGGUGAUUUGGCACAUCCACAUCAGCCAGCUUCACAGUGGGAAAAACGGGGGGAUGUACAACCCUCUGGCUUUAGCAACACCAGUUCUUCUCUCUUCGGCUACGAUCUCGCAAGCUCUGGACCGCAGCAACCGCCAACAAGCAAGCUAAAAACAGAGCUGUGA